rnacentral:rRNA from 1 species
CGCGGCCUAUCAGCUUGUUGGUGGGGUAACGGCCCACCAAGGCUUCGACGGGUAGCUGGUCUGAGAGGAUGUCCAGCCACACUGGGACUGAGACACGGCCCAGACUCCCACGGGAGGCAGCAGUGGGGAAUCUUGCGCAAUGGGCGAAAGCCUGACGCAGCGAUGCCGCGUGCGGGAUGAAGGCCUUCGGGUUGUAAACCGCUUUCAGCAGGGACGAAAUUGACGGUACCUGCAGAAGAAGCCCCGGCCAACUACGUGCCAGCAGCCGCGGUAAUACGUAGGGGGCGAGCGUUGUCCGGAUUUAUUGGGCGUAAAGAGCUCGUAGGCGGUUCGAUAAGUCGGAUGUGAAAUCUCCACGCUCAACGUGGAGGAGCCAUUCGAUACUGUCGUGACUCGAGUCCGGUAGGGGAGUGUGGAGUUCCCGGUGUAGCGGUGAAAUGCGCAGAGAUCGGGAGGAACACCCGUAGCGAAGGCGGCACUCUGGGCCGUGACUGACGCUGAGGAGCGAAAGCGUGGGGAGCAAACAGGAUUAGAUACCCUGGUAGUCCACGCCGUAAACGUUGGGCACUAGGUGUGGGGAUCUAUCGACGGUCUCCGUGCCGUAGCUAACGCAUUAAGUGCCCCGCCUGGGGAGUACGG